rnacentral:tRNA from 1 species
GCCUCUGUAGCUCAAUCUGGUAGAGCAUUCGUUUCGUAAACGAAAGGUUAGGGGUUCGAUUCCCUUCAGAGGCU